AUUGAACGCUGGCGGCAGGCCUAACACAUGCAAGUCGAACGGCAGCACAGAAGAGCUUGCUCUUUGGGUGGCGAGUGGCGGACGGGUGAGUAAUGUCUGGGAAACUGCCCGAUGGAGGGGGAUAACUACUGGAAACGGUAGCUAAUACCGCAUAACGUCGCAAGACCAAAGUGGGGGACCUUCGGGCCUCACACCAUCGGAUGUGCCCAGAUGGGAUUAGCUAGUAGGUGGGGUAAUGGCUCACCUAGGCGACGAUCCCUAGCUGGUCUGAGAGGAUGACGAGCCACACGGGAACAGAGACACGGUCCAGACUCCUACGGGAGGCAGCAGUGGGGAAUAUUGCACAAUGGGCGCAAGCCUGAUGCAGCCAUGCCGCGUGUAGGAAGAAGGCCUUCGGGUUGUAAAGUACUUUCAGCGGGGAGGAAGGUGGUGAGGUUAAUAACCUCGCCGAUUGACGUUACCCGCAGAAGAAGCACCGGCUAGCUCCGUGCCAGCCGCCGCAGUAA
rnacentral:rRNA from 1 species